rnacentral:rRNA from 1 species
AUUGAACGCUGGCGGCAGGCCUAACACAUGCAAGUCGAACGAGUGGCGGACGGGUGAGUAAUGUCUGGGAAACUGCCUGAUGGAGGGGGAUAACUACUGGAAACGGUAGCUAAUACCGCAUACCAUCGGAUGUGCCCAGAUGGGAUUAGCUAGUAGGUGGGGUAAAGGCUCACCUAGGCGACGAUCCCUAGCUGGUCUGAGAGGAUGACCAGCCACACUGGGACUGAGACACGGUCCAGACUCCUACGGGAGGCAGCAGUAGGGAAUAUUGCGCAAUGGACGAAAGUCUGAUGCAGCCAUGCCGCGUGUAUGAAGAAGGCCUUCGGGUUGUAAAGUACUUUUAGCAGGGAGGCGUUAUCUGAACAAAAAGCAACGGCUAACUCCGUGCCAGCAGCCGCGGUAAUAC